rnacentral:rRNA from 1 species
GGACUACCCGGGUUUCUAAUCCCGUUUGCUCCCCUGGCUUUCGUGUCUCAGCGUCGGCACAACCCCAGCAACCUGUUUUCACCUUUGGCGUUCCAAGCGAUAUCUACGCAUUUCACCGCUCCACCGCUUGUUCCAGUUGCCCCUAGUUGGCCCAAGAUCGCCAGUAUGCCCAGCAGUUCCACGGGUGAGCCGUGGGAUUUCACAAGACACUUAACGAUCCGCCUACACACGCUUUAAGCCCAGUGAUUCCGCCUAACGCUUGAGGCCUCUGUCUUACCGCGGCUGCUGGCAC